rnacentral:rRNA from 1 species
CAAUAGCGUAUAUUAAAGUUGUUGCAGUUAAAAAGCUCGUAGUUGGAAUUCUGGUAGGAGCGACCAUACCGGACUUGAUUGUUCGCGUAAUGCGUUGUCUCCAGCCAUCCUCGUGGAGAUUGUUUUUGGCAUUAACUUGUCGAAUUCGGGACCCGCGUCAUUUACUGUGAAAAAAUUAGAGUGUUUAAAGCAGGCGUUUGCCCAUUUGAAUACAUUAGCAUGGAAUAAUAAGAUAUGACUUUGGUGGUCUAUUUUGUUGGUUUGCACACCAGAGUAAUGAUUAAUAGGGACAGUUGGGGGUAUUCAUAUUUCAACGUCAGAGGUGAAAUUCUUAGAUCGUUGAAAGAUGAGCUUAGGCGAAAGCAUUUACCAUGGAUGUUUUCAUUAA